rnacentral:tmRNA from 1 species
AUCCUCCGCAUUGUUGUGAGCAAACUUCGGUUUGCGAAAACUCCGGCUCAAUAAGGGCUUGUUGGACGGCGGUUCGAUUCCGCCCAUCUCCACCAUAAGUGCAGUGAUAGCAGUGUGCUUAUGAUGGGGAUGACCUGGUUUCGACAGUGAGCAGAUAGGUUUCGGGGCGACACGUCAGGCGAUCGACGUAAAUGAAGCAAGCAUGUAAAUGCAAACGAUGAAAACUUCGCUAUGGCGGCCUAAAAAACCGUAAGCCGGGGCUGUUGAGCCUUGUCAUACAACACAACUAGAUGAGCCUCGGGUGAUAAUGAUCCCGAGGCUCA